AUGCUCGCUUUGGCAGCAUAUACGCUAAAAUUGGAAUGAUACAGAGAAGAUUAGCAUGGCCCCUGCACAAGGAUGACAUGUACAUUUGUGAAGCGUUCCAUAUUUUU